UGUUUCUUUUGCAGCGCUUACUGCGCGGCGAAAACCUUACACACAGUGUCUUUUUGAUACAGAACUCUUGCUUUGGUUUGGCCUAGAGAUAGGUUGGGCCAGAGGUUUAACAAAACACAAUUUAAUUAUUUUUACAGUUAGUCAAAUUUUGAAUUAAUCUUCAAAACUUUCAACAACGGAUCUCUUGGUUCUCGCAUCGAUGAAGAACGCAGCGAAAUGCGAUAAGUAAUAUGAAUUGCAGAUUUUCGUGAAUCAUCGAAUCUUUGAACGCACAUUGCGCCCUCUGGUAUUCCAGAGGGCAUGCCUGUUUGAGCGUCAUUUCUCUCUCAAACCCCCGGGUUUGGUAUUGAGUGAUACUCUUAGUCGGACUAGGCGUUUGCUUGAAAAGUAUUGGCAUGGGUAGUACUGGAUAGUGCUGUCGACCUCUCAAUGUAUUAGGUUUAUCCAACUCGUUGAAUGGUGUGGCGGGAUAUUUCUGGUAUUGUUGGCCCGGCCUUACAACAACCAAACAAGUUUGACCUCAAAUCAGGUAGGAAUACCCGCUGAACUUAAGCAUAUCAAAGCCCCCGAAGGAA
rnacentral:rRNA from 1 species